UCGAGAAUCUUCGGCAAUGAGCGCAAGCUUGACCGAGCGAUGCCGCGUGCGGGAUGAAGGCCCUCGGGUUGUAAACCGCUGUCGUAGGGGAGUAAUGGUCGGUGGGUUCUCCCAUCGAUUUGAACAAUCCUAGGAGGAAGGACGGGCUAAGUUCGUGCCAGCAGCCGCGGUAAGACGAACCGUCCAAACGUUAUUCGGAAUCACUGGGCUUACAGAGUUCGUAGGCGGUCUGGAAAGUUGGGUGUGAAAUCCCUCGGCUCAACCGAGGAACUGCGCUUGAAACUACCAGACUCGAGGGAGAUAGAGGAAAGCGGAACUGAUGGUGGAGCGGUGAAAUGCGUUGAUAUCAUCAGGAACACCGGUGGCGAAGGCGGCUUUCUGGGUCUUACCUGACGCUGAGGAACGAAAGCUAGGGGAGCGAACGGGAUUAGAUACCCCCGUAGUCC
rnacentral:rRNA from 1 species